GAUAAACGCUGGCGGCGCACAUAAGACAUGCAAGUCGAACGGAAAUCGUCUUACUAAUUAUUGAAGAGAGGUUUGAUUUAUCUAACUAAUUGGAAGUAGUUUUUAAGACAUAUGAUUUUAGUGGCGGACUGGUGAGUAACACGUAAGCAACCUGCCUAUCAGAGGGGAAUAACAGUGAGAAAUCAUUGCUAAUACCGCAUACCUUGUUUUUAUCGCAUGGUAAGAAUAAGAAAGGAGCAAUCCGCUGAUAGAUGGGCUUGCGUCUGAUUAGCUAGUUGGUGGGGUAAAGGCCUACCAAGGCGACGAUCAGUAGCCGGACUGAGAGGUUGAACGGCCACAUUGGGACUGAGAUACGGCCCAGACUCCUACGGGAGGCAGCAGUCGGGAAUAUUGCGCAAUGGAGGGAACUCUGACGCAGUGACGCCGCGUAUAGGAAGAAGGUUUUAGGAUUGUAAACUAUUUUAGUCAGGGAAGAAAAAGACGGUACCUGAAGAAUAAGCUCCGGCUAACUACGUGCCAGCCGCCGCAGUAACAC
rnacentral:rRNA from 1 species